GGGGAUGUAGCUUAGUGGUAAAGCGUGUGCUUAGCAGGCAUAAACCCUGGGUUAGACACUCAGUACCA
rnacentral:tRNA from 1 species